rnacentral:antisense_RNA from 2 species
GCUUCCUCCCGAUCGUGUCAGGGUGAGCCGAGCGCCUGUCCGGGACCACCCGGACGGGCGCUUGGUUUUUCAAGC